AGACAGGAAGCAUUACGUAAUGUAAACCUCAAAUAUUUUAAUGAUAUUCAUAAUAAUGAUGUAAUAAAUUGUCAUAAAACUACAACAAGACUCAGUCAUGUGUAGCCAACUGCAGCAUGAAUGAAAACAACAACAACACAAGGGCAAAAUUGAAAGAUGAACUGAGCUAGUGGAGGUGGAUGGCCUGGAUAAUUAUUCCCUUAUAUUUUAUUAGUGCUAGCUCAUAUAAUACACCGGGCUAGAAUUAUAUGUGUAUUAUGCUCACUCAUAUGACUUGUUUUCUUGUUGCAUGCUGCACUGUACUUACCUAGUGAAAGGUUUUUGUUGUGUAAACUUUCUCUGACCACACGGUGAAGCCAGGCUGAUAAUAACAUUUUUGUGGUCAUGUACCUCAAUUAACACUG